UUGUUGCCAGCACCAUCAAUGGCAGGACUAAAGAUUGUCCCAGUAGGAACAAAAAACUUCUCCUUGUGGUUUGAAGAUUGAUUGGUCCUUGGAUGUCAAAGAGGCCUGGAAAAACCUUCUUGACAUAGAAGCUUGGUGGCGCUCGCAUCUGAAACGCCUGCUGUGAAUGAGAGCUGGGGUCAAACCAUGCUAAAGCCUAAAGACGUCUGUAAUUCGCGCAUUGUUGCCAGCACCAUCAAUGGCAGGACUAAAGAUUGUCCCAGUAGGAACAAAAAACUUCUCCUUGUGGUUUGAAGAUUGAUUGGUCCUUGGAUGUCAAAGAGGCCUGGAAAAACCUUCUUGACAUAGAAGCUUGGUGGCGCUCGCAUCUGAAACACCUGCUGUGAACGAGAGCUGGGGCCAAACCAUGCUAAAGCCUAAAGACAUCUGUAAUUCGCGCAUUGUUGCCAGCACCAUCAAUGGCAGGACUAAAGAUUGUCAGUGACAGCUAUUUGAGAAGAAGAAACAUCAACACAUGUAGAGGUGCUGCUGAAUCGGUGGCUCUAACUCUGGCUAGCAGUGAAGAGGUCCCUGGUUCAGACCCGAUAGUUGGCUUGAGACUUGAGACCUGUCUCUCUGUCCGACUGUUUGUCUCACUCCUCCAUGCUCAAAAUGUAGUGCUGAAUGAGCAGCUCGUCUACAUGACUCCCUACAUCAUAUAACCUCUGGAAUUUGUAUGCUUUGGUUUACCAGUCCUUGGAUGGUGAAGUGGGUGCAGGAUGUCAUGACAUGAGCAUGAAGAAUAUUGUGAAAGACCGCACCAAAAAUACCUGAACAUUAACCUUUUCUAAGGAGAAGAGACUUUUUAUCAAUUUAGGCCUAUAAAAGGUUAAGAAGUUGUGCAGGAAUAUGGUUUACUCCUCAAUGAGAUUGGAAACCCUCGUCCACCUGGAUGCAGCGGAAGAUAUGUGCUGAUUCAUUUCUUGCUUUGAAGCGAUAUUGUUGCUACACUCCUAAAGCGGUGGCAAUGUUCAGGUCUUUUCUGUGUCGCGUGCAAAUCUGCAUAUGUAUAAUUAAGUUUUGCUUUGAAGCAAUAUCAGUGCUACACUUGUGAAGCAGUGGCAGUGUUCAGGUCUUGUCUGCCUCGCUGACAUAUCUGCAUACCAGUAAUUAUGUGCAGACUUGGCUCUUUCUUUGGAGCAGUACAGUUGUAAGAUAAAUCCUGUUUGUAAUUUUAUAAAUUAGUUGCUCAUUAAGGGCUUACGAAGGUUUUGAUGCCUUGCUGGCAUAUCUGCAUACCAGUAAAUAUGUGCAGAUUCAUAUCUUGCUUUGAAGCAAUAUUGUUGCUACACUCCUAAAGCGGUGGCAAUGUUCAGGUCUUUUCUGCCUCGCUGGCAAAUCUGCAUACCAGUAAUUAUGUGCAGACUUGGCUCUUCCUGAGAUUGUAGGACUGGGCCCAUUGAAUGUAACAAAAAUAAUCGAUGCCUAUUUACA